rnacentral:rRNA from 1 species
UACUACUUUCAUGUUGGAACACAGAAAGUCGGAAACGGUCCGCCGCCGGAGGACGUGACUGCGGCCGAUUAGGUAGAUGGUGGGGUAACGGCCCACCAUGCCGAUAAUCGGUACGGGUUGUGAGAGCAAGAACCCGGAGACGGUAUCUGAGACAAGAUACCGGGCCCUACGGGGCGCAGCAGGCGCGAAACCUUUACACUGCACGCCAGUGCGAUAAGGGGACCCCGAGUGCGAGGGCAUACAGUCCUCGCUUUUCGUGACCGUAAGGUGGUCACAGAAUAAGAGCUGGGCAAGACCGGUGCCAGCCGCCGCGGUAAUACCGGCAGCUCGAGUGAUAGCCACUUUUAUUGGGCCUAAAGCGUCCGUAGCCGGCCGAACAGGUCCGUCGGGAAAUCCACUCGCUCAACGAGUGGACGUCCGGCGGAAACCAGUCGGCUUGGGGCCGGGAGACCAGAGAGGUACGUCCGGGGUAGGAGUGAAAUCCUGUAAUCCUGGACGGACCGCCGGUAGCGAAAGCGUCUCUGGAGAACGGACCCGACGGUGAGGGACGAAAGCUUGGGUCUCGAACCGGAUUAGAUACCCGGGUAGUCCAAGCCGUAAACGAUGCUCGCUAGGUGUGGCGUUGGCUACGAGCCAGCGCUGUGCCGUAGGGAAGCCGAGAAGCGAGCCGCCUGGGAAGUACGUCCGCAAGGAUGAAACUUAAAGGAAUUGGCGGGGGAGCACUACAACCGGAGGAGCCUGCGGUUUAAUUGGACUCAACGCCGGACAUCUCACCGGCACCGACAGUGUGCAGUGACAGUCAGUCUGAUGGGCUUACUUGAGCCACUGAGAGGAGGUGCAUGGCCGCCGUCAGCUCGUACCGUGAGGCGUCCUGUUAAGUCAGGCAACGAGCGAGACCCGCGUCCCUAAUUGCCAGCAGCAGCCUUGUGCUGGCUGGGUACAUUAGGGAGACUGCCGUCGCUAAGACGGAGGAAGGAACGGGCAACGGUAGGUCAGUAUGCCCCGAAUGUGCCGGGCGACACGCGGGCUACAAUGGCCGAGACAGUGGGACGCUACCCCGAGAGGGGACGCUAAUCUCCUAACCUCGGUCGUAGUUCGGAUUGCGGGUUGAAACCCACCCGCAUGAAGCUGGAUUCGGUAGUAAUCGCUCUCAGAAGGGCGCGGUGAAUACGUCCCU